AUGAAGUUUAAAACGCGUGUCUUAGAAAAUAAUAAUUGUUUUAAAAACUCGUCUUUACCUAGAUUAGCAGUUUAAAAAUAUAUAAUCCAAAGCUCAAUUAAAAAUUAAAACCCACGAAUGGCCUUAUUACAACAAUAAAAACCCAGAUAUAAAAUCAUCAAUAAAAACGUAAAAAGAAAACAACAAAUCUCAAUAACCAACGAACAUGUG
rnacentral:lncRNA from 1 species